GAGUUUGAUCCUGGCUCAGGAUGAACGCUAGCGGCAGGCAUAAUACAUGCAAGACGAACGGCAAGCUUUGUAGCAAUACGGAGCCUAGAGUGUCGUACGGGUGCGUAACACGUAUGCAACCUACCUUUUACAGGAGUAUAGCUCGGGGAAACCCGAAUCAACCCUCCAUAAUAUCAUUUGAUGGCAUCAUCAGAUGAUUAAAACUGCGGUGGUAAAAGAUGGGCAUGCGUUUGAUUAGUUAGUUGGCAGUGUAACGGACUACCAAGACGAUGAUCAAUAGGGGACCUGAGAGGGUGAUCCCCCACACUGGCACUGAGAUACGGGCCAGACUCCUACGGGAGGCAGCAGUAGGGAAUAUUGGACAAUGGGUGAGAGCCUGAUCCAGCCAUGCCGCGUGCAGGAAGAAGGCGUUAUGCGUUGUAAACUGCUUUAGCCAGGGGAUAAAACGGCUCUGCGGAGCUAAUUGAAGGUACCUGGAUAAUAAGCCACGGCUAACUACGUGCCAGCAGCCGCGGUAAUACGUAGGUGGCAAGCGUUGUCCGGAUUUAUUGGGUUUAAAGGGUGCGUAGGCGGCCCUGUAAGUCAGUGCUGAAAUAUCCCGGCUUAACCGGGAGGGUGGCAUUGAUACUGCAGGGCUUGAGUACAGAUGAAGUAGGCGGAAUUGACGGUGUAGCGGUGAAAUGCAUAGAUAUCGUCAAGAACACCGAUAGCGAAGGCAGCUUACUAAGCUGUAACUGACGCUGAGGCACGAAAGUGUGGGGAUCAAACAGGAUUAGAUACCCUGGUAGUCCACACUGUAAACGUUGAUGACUCGAUGUUGGCGAUACACAGCCAGCGUCCAAGAGCAAUCGUUAAAGUCAUCCACCUGGGGAGUACGCCGGCAACGGUGAAACUCCAAAGGAAUUGACGGGGGUCCCCCAA
rnacentral:rRNA from 1 species